rnacentral:rRNA from 1 species
UCCGCGUGGUUUUUGGUGGUGGGGGGGGGGGGCCUACCAUGCAGUCGAGCGGAUGACGGGAGCUUGCUCCUUGAUUCAGCGGCGGACGGGUGAGUAAUGCCUAGGAAUCUGCCUGGUAGUGGGGGACAACGUUUCGAAAGGAACGCUAAUACCGCAUACGUCCUACGGGAGAAAGCAGGGGACCUUCGGGCCUUGCGCUAUCAGAUGAGCCUAGGUCGGAUUAGCUAGUUGGUGAGGUAAUGGCUCACCAAGGCGACGAUCCGUAACUGGUCUGAGAGGAUGAUCAGUCACACUGGAACUGAGACACGGUCCAGACUCCUACGGGAGGCAGCAGUGGGGAAUAUUGGACAAUGGGCGAAAGCCUGAUCCAGCCAUGCCGCGUGUGUGAAGAAGGUCUUCGGAUUGUAAAGCACUUUAAGUUGGGAGGAAGGGCAGUAAGCUAAUACCUUGCUGUUUUGACGUUACCGACAGAAUAAGCACCGGCUAACUCUGUGCCAGCAGCCGCGGUAAUACAGAGGGUGCAAGCGUUAAUCGGAAUUACUGGGCGUAAAGCGCGCGUAGGUGGUUUGUUAAGUUGGAUGUGAAAGCCCCGGGCUCAACCUGGGAACUGCAUCCAAACUGGCAAGCUAAAAGUACGGUAAAGGGUGGUGGAAUUUCCUGUGUAGCGGUGGAAAUGCGUAAAUAU